rnacentral:ncRNA from 12 species
UAGCACUGAGGUCGGAAAUGGCUCCCGACCCUCCUUUGUAUGAGAAUGGUACAAGCGUCUGCCUAUGAGGCUAUAUAGAUAAUGCAUGAGUUCCGACAAUCCGCAAGGUAACCUGAUAUGCAGGAUACGUCGCCCUGUCAGUAAAU